rnacentral:rRNA from 1 species
AGAGUUGAUCAUGGCUCAGGAUGAACGCUGGCGGCGCGCUUAACACAUGCAAGUCGAACGGUUAAGGCCCCCUCGGGGGCGAAUAGAGUGGCGAACGGCUGAGUAACACGUGGGCAACCUGCCCCCCGCACCGGGAUAGCCUCGGGAAACCGUGGGUAAUACCGGAUACUCCCCCCACCGGCGCAUGCCGGAGGGGGGAAAGCGUACACGGCGGGGGAUGGGCCCGCGGCCUGUUAGCUCGUUGGCGGGGCAACGGCCCACCAAGGCGAUUAUGGGUAGCCGGGUUGAGAGACCGACCGGCCAGAUUGGGACUGAGACACGGCCCAGACUCCUACGGGAGGCAGCAGUGGGGAAUCUUGCACAAUGGGCGAAAGCCUGAAUGCAGCGACGCCGCGUGCGGGAGGAAGGCCCUCGGGUUGUAAACCGCUUUCAGCAGGGACGAGGCGCGAGUGACGGUACCUGCAGAAGAAGCCCCGGCUAACUACGUGCCAGCCGCGGC